rnacentral:rRNA from 1 species
CGGUAAUUCCAGCUCCAAUAGCGUAUACUAAAGUUGUUGCAGUUAAAAAGCUCGUAGUUGGAUUUCUGCGGGGACGGAGCGGCCGGUUGCAACUUGCGACUCGAGCUAGCGCUUUCCCCGCAUCCUGCCGCGAACCGUGCUACCAUUAGUUUGGUGGCGCUGGGGAUCGGCUCGAUUACUUUGAGAAAAAUAGAGUGUUCAAAGCAGGCCACACGCCUUGAAUAAGUUAGCAUGGAAUAAUGACUAAGGACUUUGGUUCUUUUCGUUGGUGUUCGGGACUGAAGUAAUGAUUGAUAGGGACAGUUGGGGCGGUCCGUAUUCCAAAGCGAGAGGUGAAAUUCUUAGACCUUCGGAAGACGAACAGCUGCGAAAGCGUUCCGCAAGGAUGUUCCCUUUGAUCAAGAACGAAAGUUGGGGGAUCGAAGACGAUCAGAUACCGUCGUAGUCUCAACUAUAAACUAUACCAGCUAGGGAUCGGCCAACGUUUAAUUAUUCGACUUGGUCGGCACCUUAUGAGAAAUCAAAGCAUCUGGGUUCCGGGGGGAGUAUGGUCGCAAGGCUGAAACUUAAAGGAAUUGACGGAAGGGCACCACCAGCCGUGGAGCCUGUGGCUUAAUUUGACUCAACACGGGAAAACUUACCAGGUCCGGACAUAGUAAGGAUUGACAGAUUGAUAGCUCUUUCUUGAUUCUGUGGGUAGUGGUGCAUGGCCGUUUUUAGUCGGUGGAUGUGAUCUGUCUGCUUAAUUGCGUUAACGGACGAGACCCCAGCCUGCUAAAUAGCGCGGCCGAGCUUUGCUCGGUGCGAGCUUCUUAGAGGGACCAUGAUGCGCGAUAGCACAAGGAAGUUUGGGGCAACAACAGGUCUGUGAUGCCCUUAGAUGUUCUGGGCCGCACACGGGCUACACUGGCGCCUGCAACGAGCAUAUCAGCUGGCCCGAGAGGGUCUUGGCUAAUCUUUGGAACCGGCGCCGUGCUUGGGAUUGACCAUUGCAAUUGUUGGUCAUGCAACGAGGAAUGCCUUGUAAACGCGAGUCAUCAGCUCGCAUUGAAUACGUCCCUGCCCCCUUGUACACACCGCCC